GCCCGCAUGGCUUAGUGGUACAGCGUCGCACUCGUAGAAAACGGCAAUGCGAAGAUCCCUGGUUCGAUUCCGGGUGUGGGCA
rnacentral:tRNA from 2 species